UGAGGAAUAUUGGUCAAUGGUCGCAAGACUGAACCAGCCAUGCCGCGUGCAGGAAGACGGUCCUAUGGAUUGUAAACUGCUUUUAUACAGGAAGAAACCCUCCCACGUGUGGGAGCUUGACGGUACUGUAGGAAUAAGGAUCGGCUAACUCCGUGCCAGCAGCCGCGGUAAUACGGAGGAUCCAAGCGUUAUCCGGAAUCAUUGGGUUUAAAGGGUCCGUAGGCGGUCUUAUAAGUCAGUGGUGAAAGCCCAUCGCUCAACGAUGGAACUGCCAUUGAUACUGUAAGACUUGAAUGCUUAGGAAGUAACUAGAAUAUGUAGUGUAGCGGUGAAAUGCUUAGAUAUUACAUGGAAUACCAAUUGUGAAGGCAGGUUACUACUAAGUGAUUGACGCUGAUGGACGAAAGCGUGGGGAGCGAACAGGAUUAGAUACCCUGGUAGUCCACGCCGUAAACGAUGGAUACUAGCUGUUCGGCGCAAGUUGAGUGGCUAAGCGAAAGUGAUAAGUAUCCCACCUGGGGAGUACGCACGCAAGUGUGAAACUCAAAUGAAUUGACGGGGUCAUAGCUGUUUCCUG
rnacentral:rRNA from 1 species